AGCUUUGCUCAGCGGCAAUAUUAUAGCCAAUGAGGUUUAUCUGAGGCAUGAUUAUUGCUAAUUGAAAACUUAAGAAGAAAAACAAAAUUCAGGAUCUCUUGUUCCAUGGUAAUCUGCACAUAAGUCAGAAUAUGUUAAUUUACUUUUGGAAAUCACACAUAUUCUACGUGUUGUG
rfam:Rattus norvegicus chromosome 18, whole genome shotgun sequence.